GAAUUUUAUCAUUUCACCAGUACACUUACUAAAAUUGAAAUAAUACAGAGAUUAGCGUAGCUCCCAAGCAAGGAUGACAUGUAAAUUUGUGAAGCAUUCCAGAUUUUU
ensembl:snRNA U6 U6 spliceosomal RNA